GUAGGUAUAGCUCAGUGGUAGAGCACAUGCUUAGCAUAUAUGAGGUCCUGAGUUCAAUCCUCAGUACCUCCC
rnacentral:tRNA from 1 species